rnacentral:lncRNA from 1 species
UUGAAAGGGACAUGCAUUUAGUAAUGAGAUAUGCUCAGCAGCGUAGUCAGCUGUGUGGUGCAUUCUCAGCUGUGCCUCAGCAGCCUCAAUGCAAACACCCAGAAGGAGCACAGCCACUUUAUCCAGAGCAAUCAGCCAUGACUGUCUUUUCAUUGUCCGUGCUCUCAGCCUACCACCUCCUCCCCCGCCAUUGCAAGUGGCUAACACUGGGGAUGAAGACCAAGACACCACGGCCUUUCUCCAAUACCUCUCAAAUCAGCACAGACAAGGACAAACGUCUCAAUCCACAACUGCUGAAGAUGGACCCUGGCCACAUGGAAUGGUCAGACACGCCUGCCCAGCUAUCUGCAGGCGAAGAGGCUCAGAAGAGGUUUGGGGGCCUGAAGGACAUCUUGCUCCCAUGUCCAUAUGGGCAGGCGAUUUCUGCUCCAUGAGUCAAUUUUGCCAUAUAAAAUACUUAAUUUCAGCCA